rnacentral:rRNA from 2 species
UCAGGUGGUUAUUGCGGCGGUGUCCCACCUCUUCCCAUUCCGAACAGAGAAGUUAAGCCCGCUUGCGCCGAUGGUACUGCAAUGCAAUGCGGGAGAGUAGGUGGCCGCCUUUU